AUUGAACGCUGGCGGCAGGCCUAACACAUGCAAGUCGAGCGGCAGCGGGAAAGUAGCUUGCUACUUUUGCCGGCGAGCGGCGGACGGGUGAGUAAUGCCUGGGAAAUUGCCCAGUCGAGGGGGAUAACAGUUGGAAACGACUGCUAAUACCGCAUACGCCCUACGGGGGAAAGCAGGGGACCUUCGGGCCUUGCGCGAUUGGAUAUGCCCAGGUGGGAUUAGCUAGUUGGUGAGGUAAUGGCUCACCAAGGCGACGAUCCCUAGCUGGUCUGAGAGGAUGAUCAGCCACACUGGAACUGAGACCCGGUCCAGACGCCUACGGGAGGCAGCAGUGGGGAAUAUUGCACAAUGGGGGAAACCCUGAUGCAGCCAUGCCGCGUGUGUGAAGAAGGCCUUCGGGUUGUAAAGCACUUUCAGCGAGGAGGAACGGUUGAUGCCUAAUACGUAUCAACUGUGACGUUACUCGCAGAAGAAGCACCGGCUAACUCCGUGCCAGCCGCCGCGGUAAAAC
rnacentral:rRNA from 1 species